rnacentral:rRNA from 1 species
AUACGGAGGGAGCAAGCGUUAUUCGGAAUCACUGGGCGUAAAGGACGCGCAGGCGGGUUUGUAAGUCAGGUGUGAAAUCCUACAGCUCAACUGUAGAACUGCACUUGAAACUACAGACCUAGAGUAUGGAAGGGGCAGGUGGAAUUAGUGGUGUAGGGGUAAAAUCCGUAGAUAUCACUAGGAAUACCGAAAGCGAAGGCGAUCUGCUGGGACAUUACUGACGCUGAGGCGUGAAAGCGUGGGGAGCAAACAGGAUUAGAUACCCGGGUAGUCC